GUGCUCACUCCAGCAGCACAUAUACUAGAAUUGGAAUGAUAAGGAGAUUAGCAUGGUCCCUGCACAAGGGUGACACGCAAAUUCGUGAAGUGUUCCAUAUUUUU